GACGAACGCUGGCGGCGUGCCUAAUACAUGCAAGUAGAACGCUGAAGGAGGAGCUUGCUUCUCUGGAUGAGUUGCGAACGGGUGAGUAACGCGUAGGUAACCUGCCUGGUAGCGGGGGAUAACUAUUGGAAACGAUAGCUAAUACCGCAUAAGAUUGACUAUUGCAUGAUAGUCAGUUAAAAGGUGCAAUUGCAUCACUACCAGAUGGACCUGCGUUGUAUUAGCUAGUUGGUGGGGUAACGGCUCACCAAGGCGACGAUACAUAGCCGACCUGAGAGGGUGACCGGCCACACUGGGACUGAGACACGGCCCAGACUCCUACGGGAGGCAGCAGUAGGGAAUCUUCGGCAAUGGACGGAAGUCUGACCGAGCAACGCCGCGUGAGUGAAGAAGGUUUUCGGAUCGUAAAGCUCUGUUGUAAGAGAAGAACGAGUGUGAGAGUGGAAAGUUCACACUGUGACGGUAUCUUACCAGAAAGGGACGGCUAACUACGUG
rnacentral:rRNA from 1 species